rnacentral:rRNA from 1 species
UACGUAGGGUGCAGGCGUUAAUCGGACUUACUGGGCGUAAAGCGUGCGCAGGCGGUCUUUUAAGUCCGAUGUGAAAUCCCCGGGCUUAACCUGGGAACUGCGUUUGAAACUGGAAGGCUAGAGUGUGGCAGAGGGGGGUGGAAUUCCACGUGUAGCAGUGAAAUGCGUAGAUAUGUGGAGGAACACCGAUGGCGAAGGCAGCCCCCUGGGCUAACACUGACGCUCAUGCACGAAAGCGUGGGGAGCAAACAGG